AAGUAUUAACUAACUGUCACAAAAAUAUGUGCGGAUAGAAAAGGCAUGCAUAUUCAUCGCAUUUAAGAGCUGAAUCACAAUGCUCACGAGCUUCGAUCAAACUCGACUCCCCUAAAUGUUAGGAUUAUUAUUAGACCUUUCGUUGCCAAGUUUAUUAUAGACCACAAAUAUAAUAAACUUAUUAGGCUAAUCAAACUCAAUUUAUUAAUUUUCUGAAUCUAUUAUCAUGGAGCAGUAAGUUGUACCUAUCUUAGCCAAAAAUAAAUAACCA
rnacentral:lncRNA from 1 species